rnacentral:rRNA from 1 species
AUUGAACGCUGGCGGCAGGCCUAACACAUGCAAGUCGAACGGUAACAGGAAACAGCUUGCUGUUUCGCUGACGAGUGGCGGACGGGUGAGUAAUGUCUGGGAAACUGCCUGAUGGAGGGGGAUAACUACUGGAAACGGUAGCUAAUACCGCAUAACGUCGCAAGACCAAAGAGGGGGACCUUCGGGCCUCUUGCCAUCGGAUGUGCCCAGAUGGGUUAGCUAGGAGGUGGGGUAACGGCUCUCCUAGGCGACGAUCCCUAGCUGGUCUGAGAGGAUGACCAGCUACACUGGAACUGAGACACGUUCCAGACUCCUACGGGAGGCAGCAGUGGGGAAUAUUGCACAAUGGGCGCAAGCCUGAUGCAGCCAUGCCGCGUGUAUGAAGAAGGCCUUCGGGUUGUAAAGUACUUUCAGCGGGGAGGAAGGGAGUAAAGUUAAUACCGUUACUCAUUGACGUUACCCGCAGAAGAAGCACCGGCUAACUCCGUG